UCCUCCUCCUCCUCUUCCUAGUCGUCCUGCUGGGCUGCUUCCUUGCCUCCUCUCAGUCUUCCUGGGGAUCUCAACGGCGCCUCAUCUCCCUCCCUCUCCUCUCUCCUGCAAGAUGCACGCGGUCUCCUGGUGUGUGGUGGUGGCGUGCGUGGUCGGCGUGGUGGUGGCGGCUCCCAGCGGCGGGGUGGUCGAGAAGUCGGUGGCAGUCGAGACUCAUCCCCUCCCUCAGCAAGGCUCCGUUAUCCACACACACCAUAAAAGUCACACUAUCGAUCCUGCCUUCCGGGACUCUGAAUUCUACAAGGCCAUGGACCAGGCCGGAGCCAACCUGUUCAAGGGCCUGGGUGACGCCGCCCUUUCCCUGGGUAGCUUCCUCUCUCGCCUGGCAGGGGGCAACCGUCAACAUUAGUUUGUCCGUCAGAAGCAGCCCACGCGGUAAGGAACAAGUCUCUGCUGCGUAGUCUGUAGAAGGGACGUAUGUGGGUGUCUUCCUGUGGGCGGCGCUGACGGCGGUGCUGCGCGGGAUCUCCUCUUGUGUUUGUUACUACUAACCAUUAACUUAAGCACGGCCAGUCGCGGGCAUGAAGUUCUCUAGGAUGUAUUGAAGUACUAAUACUAUAGAUUACUGUCCAUGAAGCGCGUCGCAAUACUGGUUACGUUGUAGGGAGAGCGACUGUCAUCCAUUGAUUAUUUACACAAUGUGCUGGAGUAGAAUACAAAAUGGAGCUACAAUACAUUUGAUCAGUGAGUUAUGUGGCGUGUGGAAGAAAGUUAUUGGAGCCUUGUAAAGGAGAGGUAUUCAAGAGAUGCAAUGAUUAUUUUAACUGCUAUUGGGGAUACCUGUUCAAUUUUAUAAACGAGACCCGUUCGAGAGACGUAAUGAUCAAUAGAACUGUUAUUGGUCAUAUUAGUUCAGCCUUGUAAAGGAGAGGUAUUCCGGAGAUAUAAUGAUUGAUAUAACUGCUACUGGCGUUAGAUAUUUUUUUUUCAGUUUUAUAAAGGAGAGCUAUUCAAGAAACAUUGACUAAUAUAACUGAAUCCCAGACACCUCCUCAGAUCAAACCUGGCAACACACUCUAGCAAGCCUUUAAAUUUUGUCCUAUGUAUAUGCAAUGUAUUUAAACCUGUGUACUUAAGGACACAAAAUAGGCAGUAUCAUGAAAUUCUGUUUCAAUGCUGUGAGAAAGUUUUUAUUACAAUAUUCACACAGUUGAUAUUUAAAUACGUGUUGAAGUCGUCUUUUAAUACACCACUGGUCAUGUCUGAGUAUAGGCACGGACAACACUCCUCAAUUUAAGCCUGACGUUGUAGAGAAAUCAAAUCAAAUCGACAAAAAUAUAUUCCAGCCUGUUAUUUACAUUUUUUUUCUCACUGGAACGCGAAACUAACACGAUCUUAGUUGGUAGUGAGUGCUGGAACAAGUGUCAUCACCACCACCACCAUCGCCAUCACCAGUCUGGAGUUGCAUAGCGUAGAUCGAGAGCUGCCUGUGCUUGGUUUGUGUAUUGUUGUGUUUUGUAUGAUUAAAACCACUGAAUCAA